UAAGAGCUUGCUCUUAUGGGUGGCGAGUGGCGGACGGGUGAGGAAUACAUCGGAAUCUACCUUUUCGUGGGGGAUAACGUAGGGAAACUUACGCUAAUACCGCAUACGACCUUCGGGUGAAAGCAGGGGACCUUCGGGCCUUGCGCGGAUAGAUGAGCCGAUGUCGGAUUAGCUAGUUGGCGGGGUAAAGGCCCACCAAGGCGACGAUCCGUAGCUGGUCUGAGAGGAUGAUCAGCCACACUGGAACUGAGCACGGUCCAGACUCCUACGGGAGGCAGCAGUGGGGAAUAUUGGACAAUGGGCGCAAGCCUGAUCCAGCCAUACCGCGUGGGUGAAGAAGGCCUUCGGGUUGUAAAGCCCUUUUGUUGGGAAAGAAAAGCAGUCGGCUAAUACCCGGUUGUUCUGACGGUACCCAAAGAAUAAGCACCGGCUAACUUCGUGCCAGCAGCCGCGGUAAUACGAAGGGUGCAAGCGUUACUCGGAAUUACUGGGCGUAAAGCGUGCGUAGGUGGUUGUUUAAGUCUGUUGUGAAAGCCCUGGGCUCAACCUGGGAAUUGCAGUGGAUACUGGGCGACUAGAGUGUGGUAGAGGGUAGUGGAAUUCCCGGUGUAGCAGUGAAAUGCGUAGAGAUCG
rnacentral:rRNA from 1 species